UGGCUCUUUGGCUGAACUUUUCUAGAAAGGUCUAGAAGUGCGCGCGUGUGUAGAUUUGUAUUAAAUUAAGAGGUUAGAAAUGAAUACCUCCCAUGUGGUGCAAUUGUUUUAAUUUGGUGUUUUUGUUUCUUUGUUAGGUUCAGUUAGUUUGUAUAAUUGCUAGCACUGAUAGAAAUUGUUAGUAAUGUGUUAGUAGCAGUUACAGUUGUUAAAAAUAUGUAUGUACAGUGUUAAUGAGUGUUAGUAUAAAGCUAAAUCUAUUUCUAUGUUUAGUUCUUAGUUAAAACACGUUGAAAAGCAAACAUCACAACAAAGAAAACGUUGAAACCUACAAAGAAAAGGUCCAAAGCAUGGGCCUUUUUCUAUGUUUUUGAACUACUCUCCAGCAACCUCGGUGGCGAGAAUGGCGACAGAGCGUCGGCCUUAGCAGCGCACCGUUGUGUCAUCAGCCAAAUCUGCCAUUGUCCAUGGCAUCCCGAAGGUUCAUCGCAAAGGAACCACGAAAUCCGGCCGCACUUCACGAUUCCGAAGUCCCGCCGUCAGAUUACGUCACCAAAGUAGAGACGUCAUGCCGCCAAUGAUCGCUAGCGCCUGUCGCUAGAAAAACGCUUCCGAUGCCACUAUCCGCCAUCUUCGUCAGCAUCUGCUGAACUGGUUCAUCGUAGUUCCGAAUGGACUAUCAGUGUACGGGACCGGAGGUUCCCAAUCUAAACCGCAAGUAUAAAACACCCCCUGCAAAAGUGACGUCAUAGGAAUAAAUAAGACGAUGUUUUGAA